rnacentral:rRNA from 1 species
GACGAACGCUGGCGGCGUGCUUAACACAUGCAAGUCGAACGGAGUGGCGAACGGGUGAGUAACACGAGGGUGACCUGCCCUGCACUUCGGGAUAAGCCUGGGAAACUGGGUCUAAUACCGGAUAGUGUGGGAUGGGCCCGGGGCCUAUCAGCUUGUUGGUGGGGUAAUGGCCUACCAAGGCGGCGACGGGUAGCCGGCCUGGGAGGGUGGACGGCCACAUGAGGACUGGGCCACGGCCCAGACUCCUACGUGGGGCAGCAGUGGGGAGUCUUGCACAAUGGGUGGAAGCCUGAUGCAGCGACGCCGGGGUGGGGAUGACGGCCUUCGGGUUGUAAACUCCUUUCACCAUCGACGCGGUAGAUGGAGAAGAAGCACCGGCUAACUACGUGCCAGCAGCCGCGGUAAUAC